rnacentral:rRNA from 1 species
UACGAAGGGGGCUAGCGCUGCUCGGAAUCACUGGGCGUAAAGGGCGCGUAGGCGGGCUCUUAAGUCAGGGGUGAAAGCCCAAGGCUCAACCUUGGAAUUGCCUUUGAUACUGAGGGCCUUGAGACCGGAAGAGGUCGGCGGAACUGCGAGUGUAGAGGUGAAAUUCGUAGAUAUUCGCAAGAACACCAGUGGCGAAGGCGGCCGACUGGUCCGGUUCUGACGCUGAGGCGCGAAAGCGUGGGGAGCAAACAGG